UGAAUACGGGAUGGAGUGCCUCACAACCAAUCGCCCUCGCGGCGCAAAAGGCAGCCUUCACAUGCAGUUAAGCCAUGGUGCGGUGCUUCUCAUCGGAAAGGGGGCGUCGGUGAUCCUCAAGUCGCCAACGACAACCCCCUGUCAUGGGUAUGACCAUGCUCCUUCUAUGUUUCCUGCUCCGAUAUAAUCUCAAGUGAUAGCCACCCUUAGUCAAUCGCCGCCGUCCAUGGCGUUCCCAAUUUUCAUCAAGAAAACCAACAUCUCGGAAGACACUUGUGAGCAGUACUUUCAGAUGUUCUCUGUGCAUGAAUUGUACCGGGUGCCCGUGCCCAUCAUCAGUUUCUCUUAUUCCACAAUCAUUUGGUUGCAGUCGGUUCAUUAGGAAUUGACAGACAUGACAUGGAAAUAGUUCGAUGCUCUCCUAUGCAGGCGAUUUGGUCGCGAUAAGCUUCCGUUACUGAUUCGUCAGAUCUAUGCUAUUCGCCAAAUCAGUUCGGUUGCUGAUUUUUUUGAGCGAUUUGAAACAUUUGACGAAUCAUUUGAUAUCUUACUCAGAGCUAAAUCACAAGUACUAUUUCUUCCUGACACCAUGACACGGUUCAUCGAUCCCGCGUAUGCGCCCCACCUUCGUCCGCGCCCGCCGCCACGCCCCUACUGGGUAAGAAAAUCAGUUCUCGUGCAGAAGGCUCGCUGCAAGGGGAUUGAUUAGGGUUGCCGUCGCCCAUGUUCCUCGGCCCGACGCCGACGGCCGGCGGCGGCUCUCACCCUACGCAUCGCCUCCCAGCGAUCUGCUUCCUCGUCGCGCGCCUGUCUUCCUCGCCCCUCCACUCCAGAUGGAGAGAGGUGUGAAAGCCAAGGCAAAAUGGGAUUCGUUUGCACACAAAGUUUUUUGUGAGAUCUGUAAAGAGGAGGUCAGUGCCGGGAACAGGCCAGAGGCAUAUCUGAAUGCCACAGGAUACAGGAAUCUACAUCAUAAGUUCUUGGCUAGGACAGGGAGAAAUUAUGAGAGGAAGCAGCUCAAAAACCGAUGGGACUUCUUGAAGACAGAAUAUGGUCAUUGGGCGACCUCCACACAGGCUGCAACUGGGCAGCAAUGGGAUAUCAAUUUUGGAACAGUAGAUGCCGACAAUGAAUGGUGGGUGAAGCUCAUUGAGGCCCACCCAGAAUAUUUAAAGUGUCGGAGCACCAGAAAAACCUUGCUGAGCUUACCACCAUGUUUGACAAGACUCAUGUGACGAUUGCAACUUCUGCGAUCCUAGGUGAGCAUAUAGAAGACCCCACUGCUCUCUUUGAGGUUGAGGAUGACAACAAUUAUCUGGAACUGGAAGACAACAAUGAUCUGGAAAGCAACAAGGCACCUGGCCAGAAAACAAAGGAAGUUGAAAAGCAGAGGGCUGCUGCCAUUGCUGCUAGUCCAAAGAAGAAACGAAAGCAACAAAAGAACCCUAAGGUUCAGGAGUCCAGGCAUCUGGCAAACAUAAUGGCUGGUAGCACUUCGGUGACAUAUUCUACUGAUGUUCCAAGAGGCCAUGGGAUUAAAGACGUCAUCAAGUUGGCUGUGCAAUCUGGGGCGAAGGAAUGCAGCGAUCUGUUCUUCAUGGCCACCAAGCUUUUCAUGAAUGUGGAUUAUAGAGAAAUGUUUAGUGCUUUGGAGACCAAUGAAGGAAGGCUCGAUUGGCUGAACAGGAUGCAUGAAGAGAUGAAGAAGAAUUAAUGUAUUUGCUUCUCUCUUAACACUAAUCUUUUUCCGAGAUGUGAGGAUAAGACUCAUUUUCCCACACUUCCGGAAUUAAAGUAGAAGUGAGACUCGAAUCUCAGUGGGUUGGUUUGCAACCUUGUAUGCCCACUGCUAAUUAGAGUUCUCGUGUGAAGUACUAAUCCGACAUUAUUAUGAACUCACUUUUUGGUGAUUA